UACGUAGGGGGCGAGCGUUGUCCGGAUUUAUUGGGCGUAAAGAGCUCGUAGGCGGUUUGGUAAGUCGGGUGUGAAAUCUCCACGCUCAACGUGGAGGGGCCACUCGAUACUGCCAUGACUCGAGUCCGGUUGAGGAGUGUGGAAUUCCCGGUGUAGCGGUGAAAUGCGCAGAUAUCGGGAGGAACACCCGUAGCGAAGGCGGCACUCUGGGCCGGAACUGACGCUGAGGAGCGAAAGCGUGGGGAGCAAACAGG
rnacentral:rRNA from 1 species